rnacentral:rRNA from 1 species
AGUGAACGCUAGUGGCGUGCUUAACACAUGCAAGUCGAACGGACGAUAUUUGUGCUUGCACAAAUAAAGUUAGUGGCAAACGGGUGAGUAAUACAUGAGAAUUUUCCUUGCAGUACGGAAUAACUAUUGGAAACAGUAGCUAAUACCGUAUAUUGCCGAGAGGUGAAAGAUUUAUCGCUGCAAGAUAAGCCCAUGCAAGAUUAGCUUGUUGGUAAGGUAACGGCUUACCAAGGCUAUGACGGGUACCUGGUGUGAGAGCAUGACCAGGCGCGAUGGGACUGAGACACGGCCCAUACUCCUACGGGAGGCAGCAGUAGGGAAUCUUCCGCAAUGGACGAAAGUCUGACGGAGCCAUGCCGCGUGAAGGAUGACGGCCCAUGGGUUGUAAACUUCUUUUAUACGGGAAGAAGAUCUGACGGUACCGUAUGAAUAAGGACCGACUAAUUACGUGCCAGCCGCCGCCGUAAUAC